rnacentral:lncRNA from 1 species
CUUGUACAGCUUCAUGUUGAGGCUGCUUGUUUUCUGAGCUGACAGGAAUCUGAGGCAGACUUGGUUGAAUUCACCUGCAAUCUUCUGAAAGUGUGACCAGGGUCUUAGCUACAAAGUAAGUUCUGGGUAAAAGGAAGCUUCUGAUUGAGAGUUCAAAUGCCCCUAAAGCCAAGACAGGUAAGAAAGCCCUUGGCUGCCUCCUGCGGUACAAGGAUGGGAAGAGCUAGCUGAUGUUCUGUUCUGGGGUAGCUGGAUCUUUAACCAAAUGACCACCAUCAUAUCUGCGUUAAAAAAAAAAAAGCCAGCCACACCUUUAUGCCUAGCACCCUGGAGGAAGAGGCAGGUGGAUCUCUAGGAGCUGAAGGCUAAGCUUGGUCUACAUAGUGAAUUCCCAGACAACCAGAGAGCUAUACAGGGAGACCUGCCUCAAAAAAGUGCUCCCCCCAAAAAACCCAAACACACACACACCAACUGCUGGUUUUAGGCAGGUUUGAAAUAUUUGAGGGCUCAUUUCUUGCCAUGUGUCUUACUUACAUUUAUGCCUUACAUCUGUUUUGUAAAGUCCCAAGAUAUUUCAAGUCUUAAGGCCCUGUACUGGUAUCUCAAGUUCUACCCGUAUGGAUUCAAUGUGGCAUGUUUUGCUCUUUCUCCAAAUGUUUGAAGUGGGUUUGUCUCAUUUACCUAAUGCAAUGUAACAAGUGACCUCAAAACUUUGAGGCUUAAAAUAACAGUGGGUUGUUUCUGACCGGGUGGAUCUUCUGCCUUAAGCUAGGGCGGUAAGGAUCUGAAGUCUCCUGGAAGCCUGACCCGGGUCUGGGCUGGGGUUGGAACGGCUGGAAUGCGGAUGUUUUAGGAACUGGAUGGACCUUGACUAGGAGUUGAAUCAGGACUGUCUGCUGUGGACCUUGGUUCUUCUCUUCGUGGCAACUGCAUGUGGCUUCCUGUAUCGCCUCACAGCCUAGUGGCUGGCUUCCAAGAAGGACUAUGCCAACAGUAAGCAUUCCAAGAUGGAGGAAGUGGAAGCUGCCAGAGCCAUUAAGGGUCAGCUUGGAAACUGGCCAAGUAUCACUUCCUCUGUAUUUUAUUAGUGAAAGCGCUGAGGAGCUGGCCUGCAGUUCGUGUAGGAGAGACCUGCAGAACAGCCUCUCCGAGGAAUGUGUCCAUCUGGGUCAUUCAAAUCGUAGUUGAGGAUGUUUAAAAAUAGCUGUUCUUUUGUUAUCUCAGAUAAACGAAACGUGAAAUAAAUAACCACGUGGCCCAGCAAUCUCUCUUCUGGGUAAAGGGGUCGAAAGAAAGGCCUUGAAGAUGCGUCUGCAUACCCAUGUUUAUAGCUAUGUUAUUCACCAUGGCCAAAAGGUGUAAUGGGCCUCUUUUCCAUUGGUGGGUGCAUGGCUAAACAAAAUAUGAUGCUGUCUUCAUUCUUUUGGCCUACUAUAACAAAAUAUCAGUGACUGGGUGGCUUAUAAGCAAGAGAAGUUUGUUUCUUAAUGUGAUGGAGACAAGGCAAUCUAAGAUCUAAGUACAGGUAGAUUUAGUUUCUGGUAAGAGCUCUCUUUGACUUUUCUCGUUACAGAAUUUUUACACGGUGGCAAGUGUGAGCAAUCUCUGUGUGGUAUAUUUCAAUUCUACACUUGUCCCUUGUGAUCCAUCACCUCCCAAAGUCUCUGCCUCCUAAUAUUACUAGGAUUUGUAAUAUUGGGUGCUAGGAUUUCAGCAUAUAAAUGUGUGGAGGAGACAAAUGGUCAGACCACUGUAGACCUGUGUAUACAGGGGCAUAUUGUUUAUCCUUAAAAUGAAGUGAAAUUUGUAAUGUGGAUGAGACUGGAAUGGACCUAUGUUAGGUAAAAAUAAGCUAAGGGGAAAGAAAAGAACAUUGUGUGAGUCUCUUGAUGGGCGGGCGGGGCUUAGAGCAGCCAAAUCAGCAGACAGAAAGGACAGAGGUUACUAAGGGCUGGAGGAGAAGGGAAUGGAAGUGACUGCUUUGGGUGUAGUUUCAUUUGAGGACAUAGAUAAAAAAUAUUGUAACUGAUUAAUCUGCUGAACUGUACACUUAAAAUACUUCAAUGGUGAGUGAAUUCAUUAUACAUUUCUUAUAAAUGUACACAAUAAAAACAUUGUUCUG